rnacentral:rRNA from 1 species
UGGGGAAUUGUUCGCAAUGGGCGCAAGCCUGACGACGCAACGCCGCGUGGAGGAUGAAGAUCUUCGGGUCGUAAACUCCUUUCGAUCGAGACGAACGGCCUCCGGGUGAACAAUCCGGGGGAGUGACGGUACCGAGAGAAGAAGCCCCGGCUAACUCCGUGCCAGCAGCCGCGGUAAUACGGGGGGGGCAAGCGUUGUUCGGAAUUACUGGGCGUAAAGGGCUCGUAGGCGGCCAACUAAGUCAGACGUGAAAUCCCUCGGCUUAACCGGGGAACUGCGUCUGAUACUGGAUGGCUUGAGUUUGGGAGAGGGAUGCGGAAUUCCAGGUGUAGCGGUGAAAUGCGUAGAUAUCUGGAGGAACACCGGUGGCGAAGGCGGCAUCCUGGACCAACACUGACGCUGAGGAGCGAAAGCCAGGGGAGCAAACGGGAUUAGAUACCCCGGUAGUCC